rnacentral:lncRNA from 1 species
UUGUGCAUAUUUAAAAUAUACAAUGUGAUGUUAUGGGACAUAUAUAGAGAGUAUAAAGGUUACCAUAGUGAAGCAAAUUAACAUAUCCAUCAUCUCACAUAAUUACUUUUUGUUUUCUUUGUGGCAAGAGCAGCUAAAAUCUACUCAUUUAGCAUGAAUCCCAUACACAGCAUAAUUUUAUUACCUCUCAACCUCAUGUUGUUCAUUAGAUCUCUAGACUUGCUCAUUCUACAUAUUUGUUGUUUUGUAUCCUCUGAACUGCAUCCCCCCACUUCCUACCCUGCCCUUGUU